UACGUAGGGGGCAAGCGUUGUCCGGAAUCAUUGGGCGUAAAGCGCGUGUAGGCGGCUUGAUAAGUCUGCUCUGAAAGCCCGGGGCUCAACCCCGGGAGGCGGGUGGAUACUGUCAAGCUCGAGUCCGGAAGAGGAGUGUGGAAUUCCUGGUGUAGCGGUGAAAUGCGUAGAUAUCUGGAGGAAUACCGGUGGCGAAGGCGGCAUCCUGGACCGACAUUGACGCUGAUGAGCGAAAGCUAGGGGAGCAAACGGG
rnacentral:rRNA from 1 species